rnacentral:sRNA from 1 species
CUUCCUUGGAAAUCAUUGACUAGCAUCAUUGAAUAUUAUUACAUGUGGAAAACUACUGACAGAUAUGUGCAACAGAAACGUCUAAAAGCAGCAGAAGCUGAGAGUAAACUGAAACAAGUAUAUAUCCCAACUUACUACACAGUCUCACCAGUGGUAUUCUUGGGGCCCACCUAAUAUGCAGUGUAGAUUAUGUGCAAUUUGUUGGCUUUAUUGGAAAAAAUAUGGAGGCUUGAAAAUGCCCACCCAGUCAGAAGAAGAGAAGUUAUCUCCUAGCCCAACUACAGAGGACCCUCGUGUUAGAAGUCACGUGUCCCGCCAGGCCAUGCAGGGAAUGCCAGUGCGAAACACUGGGAGUCCAAAGUCUGCAGUGAAGACCCGCCAAGCUUUCUUCCUUCAUACUACAUAUUUCACAAAAUUUGCUCGUCAGGUCUGCAAAAAUACCCUCCGGCUGCGGCAGGCAGCAAGACGGCCGUUUGUUGCUAUUAAUUAUGCUGCCAUUAGGGCAGAAUGUAAGAUGCUUUUAAAUUCUUAACCUUAUAUGUUGUGCUUCUGACCAUUUUCUCUUUUCCUCUCUUUCCUUUUUUUUUGUUUGUUUGUUUGCAAUAAACAUAAGUUCUUGUGUA